UACUGUACCUUUGUUUUCUAAUUUCUUUCUUACUUUUUUUUUCUUAAGUCUGACAGAUGACAAGGCAUUUCUUCCACUUUGCAUCACAUUCCUGAACGACUUCAUAGGCAACUCCAUGAAAGGCUUUUCCCAUAGUCCAUCUUUCCUGUAUUAGCGUAGUUAUGAGAACUUUUUGUAGUUGCUGAAAAAGCUUCAGUGAUUCAUCUCCUUUUCUUGUCCCUUCAAUGGAAUCAGAAAUGGAAAUUCAGCUUCCAUACUUUCAAGGAGUUUCCUUAUAAGGAAAAUAAAAAGCAUACAUUCUAACUGUUUGCAAACCUCUUAAUUUACUGAGGCACUACUGGGCUACUGGAAAUGACAUAUAUGGAAUGAUACAUUUUGCCUUCCUCUACAUCAGAGUGUUUACUUCUGACUGCACCUGUUCUUACUCCAGGGAUAAGAAUUUGAGAUGAGAAGUUGAAGAAGCUCCAGAGCUUCCCAUUAUCUGAAUAUAGCUAAUUCAAGGGUGCUAUUAACACAUCACUGUUUCUUGAAUGGCAUUGGGAAUAAUCAAAAUUUGGAAAAUGGAGCACAGAGGGGACUGACUUCACCUAGCUCGCUUAUUUUUACAUUAACAAAACCUUGUGUUUCCUAUGGAAGAGGCUUUUGCAAGUGGGAACUGUUACCUUAUUUUUGAACUCUUUGGUUAUUUUCAAUCAAAUUCGAUAGAACAAUAGCAGUAUUGAAAAUUUUAGGCACCUAUAGGUGCCUAGAAUAUCCAGCAAGGAAAGGUACAAGGAAUAUCCAGCAAGAAAAAGACUUCUGUGUGAGUUCAUCCCUUCUCAAACAAAUGGCACUUCAUUUAUUCCAUCAAUGGACAUUUGGUUUACUGAAUGAACUGAAGUGAAUGUAGAAACACAAAGGAUUCAAAUAUGUAUUUGCUUUCUUUUUGUUGGGACAUCAUUUAAGCCAUAUAAAUAUUUUUUAUAAUUGACUAGUGGACAGUGACCAGUACAAAAUGUUUCAAACUUACUGCCAAUUCACAUCCAGAAAAAUCCAGAAAUUCUUCUGAAGUGCAAUAAAUUGGUGGAGGAUGUAAGUGUGUGCAUUCAAUGUUAUACAGUUUUUUGCUCUGCUUUUUCAUAAUAAUGGCUUGCCUAUUUCAGUCCUGUUAAACUCUUGAUUGCUGUGACACAUUCUGUUAAUCAUUAUUUUAGAAUAGGAUGUUGAGUUGCAGGGCUAUGCUGUCAAAAGAUAUGUGACCGAAACUGAAUGCAUCUCAUCAGCUUGCAAUAUAAAAUGAGAAAGAACAAUGGAUUGUAAAUGAGAAGACAUUGCACCAUGAACAAGAGACAAGGAGGUCUCUGCAUAAGUGUUGAAAAUUAAAUUUAAAAAAUAAAGGUUCCUAUUAAAAAUUUCAUUGGGUACUCCAGCACAAGACAGCUGAAAGUAAGCAGCAGAACUUUUUUUCCUCCAAAACUAAAUGUCAGGUUUGAUCUAUGACUGUGCAGUAAGGGAUUGUAAACCACUGCAUACUGGGAUUGCAUACUCUUUGGGUUUUUUUGUGUUAUUUUAUGAAACUUAAUGAGCAAAUCCAAGACUAUACUCUGUGUCAUCUAGUUUUUGUUUCUCCUUGCACAACUUUUAUAUAUGUGUUUUUCUUGAAAAAAUACAAAACUGCUGACGCUUCUUUGUUCCCAACAAGUUGCACUUUAAAACUUUAAAUAGAUUUGUAUGACUUUCUUAAUAUACUGUUCUUGUUUCUAUAAAAAACAUUUUUUUCUAUGGAAACCAAUUUAUUUUAGUAAAAAACACUCAAAUUUUAUUUUCCAUGCAGUGUCCAUGGUCAAAGGUAAAGACUGAAUGGCAGCUGGCAGAUGUCAACGAGCUGCUUAAUAUGCUAUUCAUAAUGUCAUAUUAUCUGUAGAAGAUAUUCCAAAAAACCCUUAUGUGUUCUAAAAACUAUUACAGAAGUUCACAACAUUAAAUGAGUGAUGUUUACUACUUUA